ensembl:lncRNA
GUCAAAAAAAAUGAGAUUUUUCAAACAUGUUGUAAAAACAUGCCAUAUGAUGAAAUAAUGUAAAGGAGGCCAUGAAAAACACUCCAGAAAGGUUUUCUUUGAAAAAAAAAUCAUCAAGAAUUUUGGCACAAAAAAAUGCCUUACUAUACUAUGUUGAAAAAAAUGGUAUUUUUCAAACAUGUUGUAAAAACGUGCCAUAUGAUGAAAUGAUGUAAAGGAGGCCGUGAAAAACACUCCAGAAAGGUUUUCUUUGAAAAAAAAAUCAUUAUGAAUUUUGGUGCAAAAAAACGCCUUACUAUACUAUGUCGAAAAAAAAUGCGAUUUUUCAAACAUGUUGUAAAAACGUGCCAUAUGACGAAAUAAUAUAAAGGAGGGCGUGAAAAACACUCCAGAAAGGUUCUCUUUGGAAAAAAAAAAUCAUUAUGAAUUUUGGCGCAAAAAAAACGCCUUACUAUACUAUGUAAAAAAAAAUGGGAUUUUUCAAACAUGUUGUAAAAACGUGCCAUAUGAUGAAAUAAUGUAAAGGAGGCCAUGAAAAACACUCCAGAAAGGUUUUCUUUGACAAAAAAAUCAUCAAGAAUUUUGGCACAAAAAAACGCCUUACUAUACUAUGUUAAAAAAAAUGGUAUUUUUCAAACAUGUUGUAAAAACGUGCCAUAUGAUGAAAUAAUGUAAAGGAGGCCGUGAAAAACACUCCAGAAAGGUUUUCUUUGAAAAAAAAAAAUCAUUAUGAAUUUUGGCACAAAAAAACGCCUUACUAUACUAUGUCGAAAAAAAGUGCGAUUUUUCAAACAUGUUGUAAAAACGUGCCAUAUGACGAAAUAAUGUAAAGGAGGCUGUGAAAAACACUCCAGAAAGGUUUUCUUUGAAAAAAAAAUCAUCAAGAAUUUUGGCACAAAAAAACGCCUUACUAUACUAUGUCGAAAAAAAAAGGUAUUUUUCAAACAUGUUGUAAAAACGUACCAUAUGAUGAAAUAAUGUAAAGGAGGCCGUGAAAAACACUCCAGAAAGGUUUUCUUUGAAAAACAAAUCAUUAUGAAUUUUGGCGCAAAAAAACGCCUUACUAUACUAUGUCGAAAAAAAAUGCCAUUUUUCAAACAUGUUGUAAAAACGUGCCAUAUGAUGAAAUAAUGUAAAGGAGGCCAUGAAAAACACUCCAGAAAGGUUUUCUUUGAAAAAAAAAUCAUUAUGAAUUUUGGCGCAAAAAAACGCCUUACUACACUAUGUCGAAAAAAAAUGCGAUUUUUCAAACAUGUUGUAAAAACGUGCCAUAUGACGAAAUAAUGUAAAGGAGGCUGUGAAAAACACUCCAGAAAGGUUUUCUUUGAAAAAAAAAUCAUCAAGAAUUUUGGCACAAAAAAACGCCUUACUAUACUAUGUCGAAAAAAAAAGGUAUUUUUCAAACAUGUUGUAAAAACGUACCAUAUGAUGAAAUAAUGUAAAGGAGGCCAUGAAAAACACUCCAGAAAGGUUUUCUUUGAAAAAAAAAUCAUUAUGAAUUUUGGCGCAAAAAAACGCCUUACUAUACUAUGUCAAAAAAAAAUGCGAUUUUUCAAACAUGUUGUAAAAACGUGCCAUAUGAUGAAAUAAUGUAAAAGAGGCCGUGAAAAACACUCCAGAAAGGUUUUCUUUGAAAAAAAAUCAUCAUGAAUUUUGGCGCAAAAGAACGCCAUGGUAUACUAGGUCGAAAAAUGUCAUUUUUCAACACUAAAACUUAUUGAAAAAUAGGUUUUACUUAAGUCCACCUGUUUCAACCAUCUCUACCCCUCAUUAGGUACCACUCUAAGGUACAUUAUACAACAAAAAGUCCAGUAGAUGUCACUUGUGUUUUGAAAUAGCAUGCAGAGCAAGUUAGUCUGCUCACAGGAAGUUAACACGAGCAAAAUCAUUCCUCACGAGGCCUCUAUUUGCUGUGAUUUUCAAAGGUAAAGUAAUACUUUUGACAUAUUAUGGCGCCUAAGGAGUUGCUGAAAACAAAUGUGUCAUUUAAAUGUUAAAAAAAAAAAAAAAAAAAGAUUUAAAAGGGUAAAAUAAUGUUUCUCAACCGUUUGGUAGUGGUCAAUAUUUUAAAAAUCACUGGGUCUCUUCAUAAAAAAAACAUUGAUUG